AGCAGGAAUACGCUACGUGAGAGAGUUUGUACAGCUACUCAACACAGACGAGAAGAAACUGAGAGAGAUUCUUGGAGCGACGAUGACAAAUAAAAACUGGCGUACCCUCACAGCACAUGCAAGACAAUGCCCUCUGAAUGAAGAACGUGAUGCUGACAAAUUUUCUCCCAAGCAGCAGAACCAUGAAGAUACAAUCGGGAAAGCCUCAAGCUCUUUCCAAAAUCAAGUCUCUGAAAAUCCCGCCCCAUCUCAUCAGAAUAUGGCUCCAAGUACCUGUGCUGCUCCUGUUGUUCCGGAAGCUCCUCCGGCGAAUGUGGGUUCCAUUG